GUCAUUUUCUGUGUCUUCUCCUGAUUUCCCAGUGCUAUACUGACAUCUCGAUUAAUUGACACAGCUCUGACUAGAAUUGUAUAGCCCUGACUAGAAUUGUAUAAAAGAAAACGUGACUAGAAGUUGACUAGCACUGAGGUCUGACUAGAGUUGAGGUCUUGACAGACGGAACCUUAAGCAAGUUGCUGUGAUAACGGUUCUUGCCC